GCCGGAAUAGCUCAGAUGGGAGAGCGUUAGACUGAAGAUCUAAAUGUCCCCGGUUCAAUCCCGGGUUCCGGCA
rnacentral:tRNA from 1 species